GACGAACGCUGGCGGCGUGCCUAAUACAUGCAAGUCGAGCGGAGUUUUUAAAAGCUUGCUUUUAAAAACUCAGCGGCGGACGGGUGAGUAACACGUGGGCAACCUGCCCUGUAGACUGGGAUAACUUCGGGAAACCGAAGCUAAUACCGGAUAAUCAUAGAAGUUGCAUAGCUUCUAUGUAAAAGUUGGGUUUACCUAACACUACAGGAUGGGCCCGCGUCGCAUUAGCUAGUUGGUAAGGUAACGGCUUACCAAGGCGACGAUGCGUAGCCGACCUGAGAGGGUGAUCGGCCACACUGGGACUGAGACACGGCCCAGACUCCUACGGGAGGCAGCAGUAGGGAAUCUUCCGCAAUGGACGAAAGUCUGACGGAGCAACGCCGCGUGAGCGAUGAAGGCCUUCGGGUCGUAAAGCUCUGUUGUUAGGGAAAGAACAAGUGCUAUUUCGAAAUA
rnacentral:rRNA from 1 species